rnacentral:tRNA from 1 species
AUUUUUAAUUGACAUAG